GAUGAACGCUGGCGGCGUGCCUAAUACAUGCAAGUCGAGCGAACGGACGAGAAGCUUGCUUUUCUGAUGUUAGCGGCGGACGGGUGAGUAACACGUGGAUAACCGACCUAGAAGACUGGGAUAACGUCGGGAAACCGGAGCUAAUACCGGAUAAUAUUUUGAACCGCAUGGUUCAAAAGUGAAAGACGGUCUUGCUGUCACUUAUAGAUGGAUCCGCGCUGCAUUAGCUAGUUGGUAAGGUAACGGCUUACCAAGGCAACGAUGCAUAGCCGACCUGAGAGGGUGAUCAGCCACACUGGAACUGAGACACGGUCCAGACUCCUACGGGAGGCAGCAGUAGGGAAUCUUCGGCAAUGGGCGAAAGCCUGACGGAGCAACGCCGCGUGAGUGAUGAAGGUCUUCGGAUCGUAAAACUCUGUUAUUAGGGAAGAACAUAUGUGUAAGUAACUGUGCACAUCUUGACGGUACCUAAUCAGAAAGCCACGGCUAACUACGUG
rnacentral:rRNA from 1 species